UCAACCCUCAAGCCCCGGCUUGGUGUUGGAUCUAGGGGUGGGCCCUCGGGCCCUCCCCGGUCCCAAAGACAAUGACGGCGUCCAGAGGACCCUCGGUGCAACGAGCUUUCACGAGCACGCACUCGAGUUUCAAGGACCUCUGGCCCGGUCUCCCCUUUUUUAUUAUAACAA
rnacentral:misc_RNA from 1 species